ACUGGUAUCCUGCAGUGCAUCAGGAAGAAUGUGGCCAGCACGGUGAGAGAUGCUAUCCUCUCCCUCUACUCAGCCCUGGUGAGACCACAUCUGGAAGACAGUGUCCAGUUCUGGGCUCCUGAGUUCAAGAAAGACAGAACUUCUAGAGAGAGAACACUGAAGGACUACUGAGAUGAUGAAGGAACUGAAGCAUCUCUCAUAUAUUGAGAAAGAGAAGGCUCUGGGUGGAUCUAAUCAAUGUGUCUAAGUAUCUGAAAAGAGGGCGUUAAGAGGAUGUUGUCAAGAGGAUGAGUCCAGGCUUUUGUCAGUGGUGCCCAAGAAUAAGAAAAGAGGCAAUGGACGCAAAACGGAAGACAGGAAAUUCCAACUGAACACGAAGGUGACAGAACACUGGAGCAAGUUGUCCAUAAAGUUGUGGAGUCUUCUUCCUUGGGGCUAUUCAAAAGCCCUCUGGACAUGAUCAGGGGUAACAUACUUGAGAAAAAUCUACUUGAGCAGGGAGGUUGGACCUGGCAUCCCUUCCCAUCUCAACCUUUCUGUGAUUCUGUGGUUCUCUGAUUCUCAGUCUUACCGCAAAAUCAUUGCACAAUACAAAGGAAAGGUAAGAUAGCUAUAUGUAGCAAAUGGCGUCCUCAAAUUGGAAUGUUAAAACAUGAAAAAUAUAAAUAAGCAAAGCCUUUCAGAAGCUUAGUGUAUAGCCAACAAGUAUACAGAGUGGUGUGGUCAGAUUGGUAUCCACAGAUUGUAAAGCUAGAAAGAUUACUUCAUUGGAAAUGGAUAAUCAGGAACAAAUGGAAGAUGCUCACCAAUGUUGUAGGCUUGCAGGAAAAACUCCAAGAGAAUCAAUCUCCAGAAAGAGGUCUUUUCUCAGUUGGAGUCAUCCCUUAAGUGGGGUCUAGGAGAGGUGGAGCCAGGCUCCACCCCUUCCGGUCACACAGGUGAACUGCCUUCACUUGUACUCCCCUGGCUGACUCAGUGCUCACCUCAGCUGAUCAAUCAGAGCUUCAGGCCAUGAUUCAACAGUUCCCAUACACUUAGAGAUACAGCAUGUGAAAAAAGUAGGUAAUUGUCAUCCUCUUCUAAAACAGAAAGCUUGAAAGAGCAGAUAGCACUAUCAUAAGGGCUACAUCGUGAAAAGUGAGAAAAUAAAGUAAAAUUCAGGAGAGAAUUUGGGACACAAAUGGGAAAAGCAAGUGAGAAAGCUCUCCAGAGUUGAGAAAAGUUGUUGCCAUGAUAAUAGUAUGACUUGGAUUCGCUACAACAGUUGUCAAGUAUGUGCUGAUUCACUUUAGCUCAUGAAGUGCUUGGCAAGAGCCUGAUAAAGUGGAUUAUACUACUGGCACAAGAACUUGAGAAAGGCAGUCUGAAUUAUGUACUCAGAUACAUAAACACAAUGUGGUCAUUUGCCAAGGCCAGUACCAACUUGUUAUGUUUGCUCAACGCAUUUGCAACAUAGACUUUUGAUCACCCUCAGAAUUUAGACUCUUCAGUGUAAUAGAUGAGCUUUGGGGCCUGAAAAGUUGAGAGGCAUUGAGAGUUUUGUCAUCAUUGUAUAAAGAUGAUAACUAUUCUGCCAAGGCUUUCGCUAAUAUCAUUCUUGUAAAUAGCUGACACAAAACGUGUAAUUUCAAAACACAGAAAAAAACACCAACUGCAGUAAAUAAAAUGUUUCAUCCU
ensembl:lncRNA